GCUCCGUUCUCUUGGCCUUCAGGGUUGGUGUAAGGAGGCCGUUCUCCACGGAGAACAUCUCGGGGUUCAGGACGAUGUCCCUCACCUGGACACACACAGGAAGAGCACGAACACACGGCAUUCGACAUCGCACCGACAAUCGCAAAGCGUGCGCAUCAGAACGUACGAGUCCUCACCUUGUCGAACAUGCGGUUGAGGAGUCGGGGGACGACGGGGAACACGGUGGGUUUGAGAGUCUUCAGAUCGUCCAUCAGCGUACGGAUGUCGCCCUGAAAGAAACCGAUCCUCGCGCCGUGCACCAGGAUCACACUCUAUACACGAGGUCGAGGAUCGGGACAUUUAUCUAUUUAUUUAUUUAUUUAUUUUCAUUUCAAAAUCAUGCGCAGAAUAUUUGUGCGUAACUGCUAAUCUGUUCAUUAAUAAUCUGUUAUUAAACAAAACACAACAACCGUAGCAGUUAAAAAAAACAACUGGCAGAAAUGUAAAUAUUCAAGACGUUUCUGUAUCGUUUUUGCUGUUUUUUUUUCAACUUUUUAAUUUGAUAGAUAUAUUAAAAAAAAAAAAAAAAAAGAAUCUCAGCCAAGUGUUAGCUAGCUUUUGACUCGGUUCAUGAAACAGAACCUUGAUGUUUUUUGGUAUAAAGAUUGAUUAGCGGGAUACGCUAAAUAUGCUUUACAUCACACGUAAGAAAUGUGUACAUUCUUACCAUUUUUGUCUCGUUUUCACUGG